rnacentral:tRNA from 1 species
GCAUCGAUGACCCGAGUGGCAAAGGGUGGAGACUGUAAAUCUCCUGCUUGUAAUGAGCUUCGUAGGUUCGAGUCCUUCUCGGUGCA